rnacentral:rRNA from 1 species
GUUAAAAAGCUCGUAGUUGGAUCUCAACAGUCUUGAAGCGGUCAACUUUGUAGUUGUACUGCUUUGUAGACUGUGCUUUUGCUGGAGGUUUAGGGGUGCUCUUAAUCGAGUGUCUCUGGAUGCCAGCAGGUUUACUUUGAAAAAAUUAGAGUGCUCAAAGCAGGCUAAAAUGCCUGGAUAUUCGUGCAUGGAAUAAUAGAAUAGGAUGUCGAUCCUAUUUUGUUGGUUUUCGGGACUUGACAUAAUGAUUAAUAGGGACAGUCGGGGGCAUUUGUAUUCAAACGACAGAGGUGAAAUUCUUGGACCGUUUGAAGACAAACUACUGCGAAAGCAUUUGCCAAGAAUGUUUUCAUUAAUCAAGAACGAAAGCUAGAGGUUCGAAGGCGAUUAGAUACCGCCCUAGUUCUAACCAUAAACGAUGCCAGCUAGCGAUCUGCCGCUGUUUUUACUGUAGACUCGGCAGGAAGCUUCCGGGAAACCAAAGCAUUUGGGUUCCAGGGGAAGUAUGGUUGCAAAGCUGAAACUUAAAGGAAUUGACGGAAGGGCACCACCAGGAGUGGAGCCUGUGGCUUAAUUUGACUCAACACGGGAAAUCUCACCAGGCCCGGACACUGGAAGGAUUGACAGAUUGAUAGCUC